UACAGAGGGUGCAAGCGUUAAUCGGAAUUACUGGGCGUAAAGCGUGCGUAGACGGUUACAUAAGUCGGGUGUGAAAGCCCCGGGCUCAACCUGGGAAUUGCAUUCGAGACUGCGUAGCUAGGGUGCGGAAGAGGGAAGCGGAAUUUCCGGUGUAGCGGUGAAAUGCGCAGAUAUCGGGAGGAACACCAAUGGCGAAGGCAGCUCGCUGGGACGGUACUGACGCUGAGACGCGAAAGCGUGGGGAGCAAACAGG
rnacentral:rRNA from 1 species